rnacentral:rRNA from 1 species
CCUACGGGAGGCAGCAGUGAGGAAUAUUGGUCAAUGGACGAGAGUCUGAACCAGCCAAGUAGCGUGAAGGAUGACUGCCCUAUGGGUUGUAAACUUCUUUUAUAUGGGAAUAAAAUGUUCCACGUGUGGGAUUUUGUAUGUACCAUAUGAAUAAGGAUCGGCUAACUCCGUGCCAGCAGCCGCGGUAAUACGGAGGAUCCGAGCGUUAUCCGGAUUUAUUGGGUUUAAAGGGAGCGUAGGUGGAUUGUUAAGUCAGUUGUGAAAGUUUGCGGCUCAACCGUAAAAUUGCAGUUGAAACUGGCAGUCUUGAGUACAGUAGAGGUGGGCGGAAUUCGUGGUGUAGCGGUGAAAUGAUUAGAUAUCACGAAGAACUCCGAUUGCGAAGGCAGUUCACUGGACUGCAACUGACACUGAGGCUCGAAAGUGUGGGUAUCAAACAGGAUUAGAUACCCCAGUAGUC